rnacentral:tRNA from 1 species
ACCUGGCUGGCUCACGUGGUAGAGCAUGAGACUCCUGAUCUCAGGGUUAUGAGUUCAAGCCCCACGUUGGGCA